rnacentral:rRNA from 1 species
GAUGAACGCUGGCGGCGUGCCUAAUACAUGCAAGUCGAGCGAACAGACGAGGAGCUUGCUCCUCUGACGUUAGCGGCGGACGGGUGAGUAACACGUGGAUAACCUACCUAUAAGACUGGGAUAACUUCGGGAAACCGGAGCUAAUACCGGAUAAUAUAUUGAACCGCAUGGUUCAAUAGUGAAAGACGGUUUUGCUGUCACUUAUAGAUGGAUCCGCGCCGCAUUAGCUAGUUGGUAAGGUAACGGCUUACCAAGGCAACGAUGCGUAGCCGACCUGAGAGGGUGAUCGGCCACACUGGAACUGAGACACGGUCCAGACUCCUACGGGAGGCAGCAGUAGGGAAUCUUCCGCAAUGGGCGAAAGCCUGACGGAGCAACGCCGCGUGAGUGAUGAAGGUCUUCGGAUCGUAAAACUCUGUUAUUAGGGAAGAACAAAUGUGUAAGUAACUAUGCACGUCUUGACGGGACCUAAUCAGAAAGCCACGGCUAACUACGU